rnacentral:sRNA from 1 species
CAGCUGCUCCUGCUGCUGAUGCUGCUGUUGCCGUCGAGUUUAUUACCAACGAAGUUGCCGCAGUGGCUGCGGCUCCUACUGCUGUUGUUGUAGCUAUAAUUGCCGGCUGUUGUUGCUGGUGUUGCAGAUGUUGCAGAUUUUGUUGCUGCUGUUCCUGCUGCUGCUGCUGCUGCUGCUGCUGCUG